ACAAUGCGGGACUAUCAGUCUUGCAAUUGGAUUGAGAACAAUGUACAACUCUUAUCGAUAAGCCAUUGGAGGGCAAGUCUGGUGCCAGCAGCCGCGGUAAUUCCAGCUCCAAUAGCGUAUAUUAACGUUGUUGCAGUUAAAAAGCUCGUAGUUGAAGUGUGGGUGAUCGCUGUUGUGAGACUUCGGUCUCUCGACAGUAAGUCACCCCCUUCCAGUAUCCAGUAGUGGGUAUUCAGUUACUUACUAUUGUGUGUUGGUCGUUUACUGUGAGAAAAUUAGAGUGUUCAAAGCAGGCGUUUGCUUGAAUAGAUUAGCAUGGAAUAAUAAUUGAAGGCUUUCGUGUUCGAUUUGAUUGGUUUGUUCAUGGAAGCAAGGUUAAAAGGAACAGUUGGGGGUAUUCAUAUUCACUAGUUAGAGGUGAAAUUCUCGGAUUUAUGGAA
rnacentral:rRNA from 2 species